rnacentral:misc_RNA from 1 species
GUUAAUAAAAUCCUUCUAAGCCACAAUUUUUUCAAUUCAACUGUCAACAAUACAUAGUAUGGCAGGCAGACUACAUAUCAGACAUUUGAACCAAUGUUAGUUUCAUUUUUACAGCAAGAAUGGAAUUCCCUUAUUUAGAAUCAUUACAAUACAUCAACCUGGCAUAAAUUUGUAAUUUAAUUUAGAUGUAUCAACCAGAGAUAUUGACACAUAUAAGACAAAACCCAAAAGGGUUAGAAAGUAAUGCAUACAAGAAUGCCAGAAAAUGUCCAGGUUUGAUAUUUUUUGUUGUCAAGCAGAAACACAAAAGAAAGAAAUAGGCAUAUGUUGAAUUUCUUGAUAAAACUAAUUUGAUUUUGCCACUUAUAAACAGCUUGGUGAAACAUCUUCAACUGCCUGCCUUGGCCUUUCUAAUGAAGUACAUACCGGAUAAUGUCUUUCAAGUUUCAGGCAAUCAUUUUGCGUGAUAUCCUUCAAGAGAAAAUUUUGUUUAGAUUUAAUAAUUUUGUUGGGAUUAAAGAAUAGCAACUUGUUGUUGUUUAAUACCCUUUGGUCAUUGCACAA